GGAGGCGGGCAGACACUGAACAGGCUGGGGAUUCUCACAAACCGAAGGACGGUUGAUAUCCAUCCGCUGCUGCCUGCAGCACACUACCACCACCACCACCCUGAACUAGGGAUCCUAUCCCCCACUGCCAGUCGUCCCCAGGUCCCUUUUAUUGCGGUGCCAGCAAUGAGGGGGUGGUCGCCUCGGAGGUCCGCAGAGGCGGGCUGCUGUGAGCCCGCCCCUUAGGCUGGCGCACCUCCUGGCCCCGCCCCCCGUGGGUCGGAACUAGGGUGGGCCAGGGAGGGGGCGUCUAGCCCAUUCGUGCUGUAUCCCUCCGCCCCCCUUCCCGACACCCUUGGUGAGAGCGGUUCGUGCGGCAUCCUGCGCAGCCCCUGCCCAGUUUGGUGCUGCAGCGCGGGGGGGCGGGACGCCUUUUUGCGAUUCUGACAGCACGCUAGGUGGUGGGAGUCCGAGUGAGGAGCUCCGAGAAGAGGGGGAGGACAACAACCUGCACCUUGAGCCUGUGAAGGUCUGGUGGUUUCAUCCCGCAGGGUGCAUCUGUAGAGGAGAGGCUUGAGAAAAAGGAAGAGCAGGACAAUGGCCUGGAUUUCUGGAGGCCUACUUUAAAGCUGCUCACUUCUGUAAGGGAGGGAAGGAGGAAUAUACUGGCCCAAAUCUGUGGAGAUCUACCUCCAGUGGCAUCUCUGGAGGUGUUGGAAUUGCUGCUGACCACCACCCUCAACAGGUCUGCACCCACCUGGGAGCAUCCAUCAUCCCCCAGCUUGGUUGUGCCUCUUCUGCGCUUUGUGAUAUUGACUGAGGCUGGGCUUUGGAAGCAGAUCGAUUGACUGCUGGACUGGUGAUUGACUCUAACUCUUGUUUCCAACUAUAUCACGUGAAUCACUGAAAGAUCACAGUGUGAAGAUACAAAACUGUGAGAGAUCUGUGGUAGAGGCUGAGACUGGGGUAGGGGUACUUAACUGGG
rnacentral:lncRNA from 1 species